rnacentral:sRNA from 1 species
AAUCUGUUGCAGGUUUAGAAACCAUAUAGCCACUUACUAGAUCAUCUCUGAAAUAAGAAUAAAUGGGCUCACACUCUCCCUCCCACUUCCUGGUUCAUGGCCGGAUUUUGAGUAUGAUGUUUCCAGAAGAGGAGGAGGCAGAAGAGGCCACCUCGGAACCAGAGUCCUACCUGGAUUUGCCGAAGCAAAUUUCUGAAAAAACUACCAAGAGGAUCCUGAUGCUCCUGUGUGACGAGUCGGGGUUCCUCAUAGAGAGCAAGCUGCUGAGCCUUCUCCUGCCCCUGGAGCAGAAUGAAUGCUAUCUGCUGAGGCUGGAUGCCAUCUUCUCCGCCCUUGGAAUUGAAAGUGAGGAUGACUUGUAUAAACUGGUGAACUUCUUCCUUAAAUAUCGAGCUCACCGUUUAUCUUCCAGCCUCCAGAUCAAGCCCUGCAGUCAGGCGAGCAUGGAGAAGGCGAGCAUGGAGGAGACAAGCACGAGGUCAGAAUUGGAGCUGGCAGAGCAGACGGAGAUGGAGGGAGAAAAGGAAGAAAGCCUGGUGGAAGGGGAGAAGGAGGAAGAGGAGGAGACCCCACCCUCCCCCU